ensembl:lncRNA
ACAAGGUACAUUGAGUUAUGCUUCGGAGGACAUCGGUUCGGCUGGGAUUUUGUCAUGGCUAAAGUCGCUUUUCCCCUCCUUGGCGCUGAUUUUUUGUGUGCGCAUGGACUGUUGGUGGAUGUUAAGAACCGCCGUUUGAUCAACGCUGUCACAUUCUGCUCUUAUACGUGCACGCUCAGCGGGGCUGACUCCAUACGACUGUCUAGCAUGCUCUCCCCAUCAGACGACUUCCGCCGUCUACUGGCUGGUUUUCCAGAACUCACCCAGCCCACUUUCUCUGCAUCUGCCGUGAAGCAUGGUGUGGAACACCAUAUCGCCACCACUGGUCCGCCCGUCUACGCCCGUGCUCGGCGCCUCGACCCGACCAAGCUUGCCGUUGCUAAGGCCGAGUUUUCUAACAUGGAAUGCCUUGGAAUAGUCCGCCGGUCCGCCAGCCCGUGGGCGUCACCUCUUCACAUCGUCCCCAAACCUGGUGGCGGCUGGCGCCCAUGCGGCGACUACCGGCGGCUUAAUGAUGCAACGACGCCUGACCGAUACCCAGUCCCGAACAUACAGGAUUUUUCAGCACACCUGGCUGGUAUGGGGAUUUUUUCUAAGGUGGACCUCGUCCGGAGCUACCAUCAGGUGCCCAUGCACUCACUGGACAUUUCAAAAACAGCGUUCAGAAGAAUAAGCUCAUCAUUACUGGUCUGUCAAAGGUCUGGCAAAAACUUUUACAUGAACAAGCGGAUUGUAGAGGGGAUUUUAUGAAAUCAACUAACAGGUUGAUAAGACAUUUCAACUUUUAGUUUCGCUGAACUACUUUCUUUUUAAGUGUAACACUUGAGUCAAGGAUUUAAAAUGAUGAAAAUUUUAGAUAAAAAUGAUUAGAACAAAUAGAAAUAAACAUGAAAACUAAUUCAGCACAGCAAAUUUGUUUCAGGGAAAAACACAGCGCGCUUAUUUGGACGAAUGUAUGGAAAAGGGAGAACCACACCAGUGUGAAUAUAAGGUGGAACUGGAAGCAAAAGUGCGAACAGACUUAAAAGGCACACCACUGAUACACUCUGAUUGGCAAUUGAUCACUGAUGGCAGCUGCUUUAGACAUCCACAGAAGGGGUUGCAGUCGGGAUACGCGGUAGUCAGAAGCCAUGGGGCAGGGACAGAGGUUCUGGAAGCAGAAAGGAUCCAGGGAAGUCAGUCAGCUCAAAGAGCUGAGGUACUCGCAUUGAUAAGAGCAUUACAGCUGGCAGAAGAGAAGGAAGUAAACAUCUAUACUGACUCGGCGUAUGCAGUAGGAGCAGCUCAUAUGGAGCUGGGACAGUGGUUAAGAGCAGGUUUUCUGACGGCUGAAGGAAAACCGAUUAUCUGGCGGCAGCCUUGGCUCUACCGAGCACCGUGGCUAUUAUUAAGUGCAAAGGACACGAGAACUCCAACAGUAUGGUGGCCAAGGGAAACCCGGCAGCAGACCAAGCUGCAAAACAGGUUUCACCCCAUACGAACUGACCACUGGGAGACAGUUCCCUGGACCCAGUGCCAGCCUGAAGCUUAGGCCCAACCCGGAAGCUCCGCCAGGUGAGUAUGCAAGUCAUUAUAACAAUCUACGAGCUCUCGUUUCAGAUUUUGCUGACCAGGUGUGAGACAAAACAGGGGAUCAGAAUGCCCACAACACCCACACAGCAUCCUGGGUCCUCCUGAGGGUCAUUAAGAGAAGUGGUCAGAGCCGCGGUGGACAGGACCGUACCAGGUGGAGGAAAGAACCUCACAUGCAGUGAGGCUGAGAG